AGAGUUUGAUCCUGGCUCAGGAUGAACGCUGGCGGCGUGCUUAACACAUGCAAGUCGAACGCACCUUCGGGUGAGUGGCGGACGGGUGAGUAACGCGUGGGAAUCUGCCCUCAGGAGGGGGAUAACGGCUGGAAACGGCUGCUAAUACCCCAUAUGCCGAGAGGUGAAAUGAAUUUCGCCUGAGGAUGAGCCCGCGUCUGAUUAGCUAGUUGGUGGGGUAAUGGCACACCAAGGCGACGAUCAGUAGCUGGUCUGAGAGGAUGAUCAGCCACACUGGGACUGAGACACGGCCCAGACUCCUACGGGAGGCAGCAGUGGGGAAUUUUCCGCAAUGGGCGAAAGCCUGACGGAGCAACGCCGCGUGAGGGAUGAAGGCCUCUGGGCUGUAAACCUCUUUUCUCAAGGAAGAAGACAUGACGGUACUUGAGGAAUAAGCCACGGCUAAUUCCGUGCCAGCAGCCGCGGUAAUACGGGAGUGGCAAGCGUUAUCCGGAAUUAUUGGGCGUAAAGCGUCCGCAGGCGGCCUUGCUCUGUCGUUAAAGCGUGGAGCUUAACUCCAUUUAAGCGAUGGAAACUACAAGGCUUGAGUGUGGUAGGGGCAGAGGGAAUUCCCGGUGUAGCGGUGAAAUGCGUAGAUAUCGGGAAGAACACCAGUGGCGAAGGCGCUCUGCUGGGCCAUAACUGACGCUCAUGGACGAAAGCCAGGGGAGCGAAAGGGAUUAGAUACCCCUGUAGUCCUGGCCGUAAACGAUGAACACUAGGUGUCGGGGGAAUCGACCCCCUCGGUGUCGUAGCUAACGCGUUAAGUGUUCCGCCUGGGGAGUACGCACGCAAGUGUGAAACUCAAAGGAAUUGACGGGGGCCCGCACAAGCGGUGGAGUAUGUGGUUUAAUUCGAUGCAACGCGAAGAACCUUACCAGGGUUUGACAUCCUGCGAAUCCCUUGGAAACUUGGGAGUGCCUUCGGGAGCGCAGAGACAGGUGGUGCAUGGCUGUCGUCAGCUCGUGUCGUGAGAUGUUGGGUUAAGUCCCGCAACGAGCGCAACCCACGUCUUUAGGUGCCAGCAUUCAGUUGGGCACUCUAGAGAGACCGCCGGUGAUAAACCGGAGGAAGGUGUGGAUGACGUCAAGUCAUCAUGCCCCUUACAUCCUGGGCUACACACGUACUACAAUGCUACGGACAGAGGGCAGCAAGCUCGCGAGAGUUAGCAAAUCCCAUAAACCGUGGCUCAGUUCAGAUCGUAGGCUGCAACUCGCCUACGUGAAGGAGGAAUCGCUAGUAAUCGCAGGUCAGCAUACUGCGGUGAAUACGUUCCCGGGCCUUGUACACACCGCCCGUCACACCAUGGAAGUUGGCCAUGCCCGAAGUCGUUACUCCAACCCUUGUGGAGGAGGACGCCGAAGGUGGGGCUGAUGACUGGGGUGAAGUCGUAACAAGGUA
rnacentral:rRNA from 1 species